UACAGAGGGGGCAAGCGUUAUUCGGAAUUAUUGGGCGUAAAGGGCGCGUAGGCGGCUUUUCAAGUGACGGGUGAAAUCCCUCGGCUUAACCGAGGAACUGCCUGUCAGACUGGAAGGCUUGAGACCGGGAGAGGUGAGUGGAAUUCCCAGUGUAGCGGUGAAAUUCGUAGAUAUUCGGAGGAACACCAGUGGCGAAGGCGGCUCACUGGUCCAUUACUGACGCUGAGGUGCGAAAGCGUGGGGAGCAAACAGG
rnacentral:rRNA from 1 species